UACAGAGGGUGCAAGCGUUGCUCGGAUUUACUGGGCGUAAAGCGUACGCAGACGGCAAGUAAGGUCGGACGUGAAAGCCCCGGGCUCAACCCGGGAAAUGCGUCCGAAACCGCCUUGCUAGAGUAUGAGAGAGGAAAGCGGAAUUCCUGGUGUAGAGGUGAAAUUCGUAGAUAUCAGGAGGAACACCGGCGGCGAAGGCGGCUUUCUGGCUCAUUACUGACGUUCAGGUACGAAAGCGUGGGUAGCAAACAGG
rnacentral:rRNA from 1 species